UACGUAGGGUGCGAGCGUUGUCCGGAUUUAUUGGGCGUAAAGGGCUCGUAGGCGGCGUGUCGCGUCGGGGAGUGAAAGCCCGCUGCUUAACGGCGGGUUGGCUUCCGGUACGGGCAUCGCUGGAGUGCGGCAGGGGAGACUGGAAUUCCUGGUGUAGCGGUGGAAUGCGCAGAUAUCAGGAGGAACACCGGUGGCGAAGGCGGUUCUCUGGGCCUUACCUGACGCUGAGGAGCGAAAGCGUGGGGAGCGAACAGG
rnacentral:rRNA from 1 species